rnacentral:rRNA from 1 species
UACAGAGGUCUCAAGCGUUGUUCGGAUUCAUUGGGCGUAAAGGGUGCGUAGGCGGCGCGGUAAGUCGGGUGUGAAAUCUCGGAGCUUAACUCCGAAACUGCAUUCGAUACUGCCGUGCUUGAGGACUGGAGAGGAGACUGGAAUUUACGGUGUAGCGGUGAAAUGCGUAGAUAUCGUAAGGAAGACCAGUGGCGAAGGCGGGUCUCUGGCCUGUUCUUGACGCUGAGGCGCGAAAGCUAGGGGAGCAAACGGG